AGUGAUAACCAUGCUUCAUUGCAUUUCCUAGUUUGCGCAACAAAGCGUGAUAAUUGCACUUGACUAUAUUACCAUAUUUAAAUUACAGCAUAUACCGUUUAUAUGCGGUAAUUUGAAUAUGGUAAUGUCGUCAAGUGCAAUUAUCACGCCUUGUCGCGCAAACAAAGAAAUGCAAUGAAGCAUGGUUAUCACC